CAGUCGCCACGGGAAUACGAAGGGGGCUAGCGUUGUUCGGAUUUACUGGGCGUAAAGCGCACGUAGGCGGACUUUUAAGUCAGGGGUGAAAUCCCGGGGCUCAACCCCGGAACUGCCUUUGACACUGGGAGUCUUGAGCUCGAGAGAGGUGAGUGGAAUUGCGAGUGUAGAGGUGAAAUUCGUAGAUAUUCGCAGGAACACCAGUGGCGAAGGCGGCUCACUGGCUCGAUACUGACGCUGAGGUGCGAAAGCGUGGGGAGCAAACAGGAUUAGAUACCCCGGUAGUCCCUGUCUCUUAUAC
rnacentral:rRNA from 1 species